GCCUUCAGAUUCUUAGAAAGUACUGAUGACUCGAAUUAAAUUACAGAAACAAUACGACGAUUUCAGUUGAUUCUAUCCAUUCGUCGUUAUGGUGAAGGUUGAAGCCUGUUAAAAGGUUAAAACCCGCUGCAUUUGUUUGCACCUGUCCUAAAUCAGGAACCUGUUUCAGUGGUUGUCGCUUGUUAAUGUUGUUCUCAAGUGUUUCUCGUUUUUUUAUAUAGAUUAGACCGUCGGUUUUCCUGUUUGAAUGGUUUUACACUAGUCAUUUUGGGGGCCCUUUAUAGCUUGAUGUUCGGUGUGAGCCAAGGCUCCGUAUUGAAGGCCGUACUUUGACCUAUAAUUGUUUACUUCUUACACAUUGUGACUUGGAUGGAUAGUUGUCUCAUUGGCACUCAUACCACAUGUUCUUAUUUCUAUAUAUAGCAAUAUGUAGUUAGUUAUGCUUUAAUUUAUCAAAAACAAAUUGAACGUAAGUACUAACGACAAUAUUUAAAGAUUUCACUACGUUGUUAAAAAUAGAUAACCUUUAAGAAUACGUUUAUUCAAAGGAUCAUUGAGUUUAUAUGGAUUGCAUAUAAAUUUACGCGCUUUAUAAACAACAUCACCCUGAAAAUUUGGAUGCGAUAGUCCGUGUUCAACAAAAAAGUCUACAGGUACAGCCAAACUUCCUAACCAAAAUUUGGUAUCUAUGAAAUAUUUUAAGAAAAGUUUUAGUUAAUUUGUCGUAUGAAAAUCCCUGACAUUUUUCUUAUUAUAAGUUGAUUUUUCACUUCAAUCAUUUUCUUACUUUGAAUAUUAAUUCCGGUUUUCUAUUUCUGAAGCAGAAUAUAGAAUUGUACUGAUACUAUUUGCUAUGUUUUUAUUUUUGUAGCAGACACAGACAAAUAGAAUAUACAGUAAACUUAUUUAUUCUUUUAUUCCCGGUUGAAUAAAUGUAAUUAUACUGCAUUUCUGUAAAUAUCAGCCCACAACCUCCAGAGAUUUACAUAAUAUAAUGGAACUAAUGAUGUGUCAUAGUCUAGCAGCCGCUGUUACAGAGAAACAUUUAUUCUUUUACAUUUUCAUGUGGAAAGAUCUAUCGGUAUAUCCUAACUCUUCCGACUGCGAUUUUAUAUUUUUUCCAAGAUGCCUAUUUAUAUAUCAAUAAAUAGUGUAUAGUUCCUA